UAAUUUUUAUAUGAUUACAGUAUAGAAUCAUGAAUCAACUUUCCCAGUUAAUGUAGUCAACUGAAGCUACUGCCAUGGUUCAGGUUCCAUCAUGUUUCAAAUAUAGUUUAUGACUGUAGUUACGUACUGUGGCAGCAACACAGGGCAACUCGGGGCUGGGGACAAGUGAGUGUGUCUUUCCCUCCCCAAAUGCAGUCAUUUAGCAUCUUCCUCUUCCAGAGUCCUGUAUCCCAGCGAUGGGGAUCAAGAUUCAGACUUAAGGACAUCCUACCCGGACCUUGGCAAGGAGAUCUUUACAGUGGAGGUCUGGUCCAGCCUCUCUCUGGCCCCAGGCCUCUGCUGUCCACCUUAUACAAACGCCACAUGAAUACAUACACGGAAACCGUCCACAAAUUCUAGCCCACCAAUUAAUGCUGUCAGACUGGGACCUUCGUGGAAAGCCUGCUUGAAACAAAACAAUUGAAAAUAAAGUGGCUUAAACAAAGUA